rnacentral:rRNA from 1 species
GCCCAGACUCCUACGGGAGGCAGCAGUGGGGAAUAUUGCACAAUGGGCGAAAGCCUGAUGCAGCGACGCCGCGUGAAGGAUGAAGUAUUUCGGUAUGUAAACUUCUAUCAGCAGGGAAGAAAAUGACGGUACCUGACUAAGAAGCCCCGGCUAACUACGUGCCAGCAGCCGCGGUAAUACGUAGGGGGCAAGCGUUAUCCGGAAUUACUGGGUGUAAAGGGAGCGUAGACGGUUAAGCAAGUCUGGAGUGAAAGGCGGGGGCCCAACCCCCGGACUGCUCUGGAAACUGUGUAACUAGAGUGCAGGAGAGGUAAGUGGAAUUCCUAGUGUAGCGGUGAAAUGCGUAGAUAUUAGGAGGAACACCAGUGGCGAAGGCGGCUUACUGGACUGUAACUGACGUUGAGGCUCGAAAGCGUGGGGAGCAAACAGGAUUAGAUACCCGCGUA